rnacentral:piRNA from 1 species
GUGGACAGGAGUCGAAGGACUAG